CCGCGUGCAUGCUUAGCAGGUGCGGGCCCUCCCAAGGUUCUGCGCUGCCUCCAACUCCUCUGGACCCAGCUUCUCUAGCGGUGAUUGGAGUUGUGGUGCUCAGCGCCGAUCUUGUGUGCUGAUAAAAGCUGCGGGGAUUGUCGAGGUCUUCCUAGGGCGGUGAAAGGUGGGGGGGCAGCUUCAGAUCCGGCGAGUUUUCCACUAGCCUGGCUGCGGCUGUUACCAGCCUGUUCAGAUUCGUCGUCAAAUUGGAAGCCCCCGAGAGGAGACAGCCAAAAUACUGAGGACCCGCAAAUGCAGGCCGGGGAGUCGGAAAGGGAGAUCCCAUCUCACUGGAGUAAGGUGGAGGAGCUGAAACAAAAAUUGGUACCCAGGCCAUGACAGCCCUGGAUACAGCUAUCCACAGACAAGAAAGAGCUUGGUUUUCCUGUUUUGAAGCUAAGUUGUGUUGGGCCCCUUCUAGGGACUAGAAGUUUUGUAACAGGAACAACUCCUUUGAACAACAAAGAUAGCUGCAUGGUGGUGAUAGACUCCAUUCAGCUUUGGAGGAUAGACUAAUACCACAGCACCGACUGGAGAACCACGGAG
rnacentral:lncRNA from 1 species